AUUCUGCCCAAGCGGCGAAGGAUGAGAAGCUUCGACCAAGGUUCGACUUGAGCGCCAGCGAGAGAGCGUUGCCGCAGGCAACGACCCGAAGGG
rnacentral:sRNA from 1 species